rnacentral:rRNA from 1 species
AUGUCAGCAGCCGCGCGGUAAUACGGAGGGUGCAAGCGUUACUCGGAAUCACUGGGCGUAAAGCGCGCGCAGGCGGCUAGAUAAGUUGGAAGUGAAAUCCUAUGGCUCAACCAUAGAACUGCUUCCAAAACUGUUUAGCUAGAGUCUGGGAGGGGAAGAUGGAAUUAGUAGUGUAGGGGUAAAAUCCGUAGAGAUUACUAGGAAUACCAAAAGCGAAGGCGAUCUUCUGGAACAGUACUGACGCUGAGGCGCGAAAGCGUGGGGAGCAAACAGGAUUAGAUACCCUGGUAGUCCACGCCCUAAACGAUGAAUGUUAGUCGUCGGGACUCUAGUAGUUUCGGUGAUGCAGUUAACACAUUAAACAUUCCGCCUGGGGAGUACGGUCGCAAGAUUAAAACUCAAAGGAAUAGACGGGGACCCGCACAAGUGGUGGAGCAUGUGGUUUAAUUCGAAGAUACGCGAAGAACCUUACCUAGCCUUGACAUAUUUUAGAACUCCGCAGAGAUGUAGAGGUGCCUUCGGGAGCUAAUAUACAGGUGCUGCACGGCUGUCGUCAGCUCGUGUCGUGAGAUGUUGGGUUAAGUCCCGCAACGAGUGCAACCCUCGUUCUUAGUUACUAACGGUUCGGCCGAGGACUCUAAGAAGACUGCCUUCGUAAGGAGGAGGAAGGUGAGGACGACGUCAAGUCAUCAUGGCCCUUACGGCUAGGGCAACACACGUGCUACAAUGGUUAGGACAAUGAGACGCAAUACCGCGAGGUGGAGCAAAUCCAUAAACCUAAUCUCAGUUCGGAUUGUAGUCUGCAACUCGACUACAUGAAGCUGGAAUCACUAGUAAUCGUAGAUCAGCUAUGCUACGG